GCCCGGUUAGCUCAAUCGGUAGAGCGUGAGACUCUUAAUCUCAAGGCUGCGGGUUCGAGACCCGCAUUGGGCU